GUUAAAGAAGAGCAAUUGGCUGCUCGUUAGGCUCAUGACCUAAAGGUUGUAGGUUCAAAUCCUACCUUUGACA
rnacentral:tRNA from 1 species